CGGAGAGAUGGUGGGACCUGC
rnacentral:piRNA from 1 species